rnacentral:lncRNA from 1 species
UAUUUUCAGUCCCCAUUUGGGUUCUGGUCCCUAUUUUCAGUCCCUAUUUGGGUUCCAGUUCUGUUCCCUAUUUCCAGUCCCUAUUUUCAGUUCUCAUUUGGGUUCUGGUUCUGCUCCCUAUUUUCAGACCCAAUUUUCAGUCCCUAUUUUGGGUUCUGGUUCUGUUCUGGACUUUCAGAUCCAAUUUUCAGUCCUUAUUUUGGGUUCUGGUUCUGGUCCCUAUUUCCAGCCCUGGUUUUGGGUUCUGGUUCUGGUCCAAUUUUCAGUCCCCAUUUGGGUUCUGGUCCCUAUUUUCAGCCCUGGUUUUGGGUUCUGGUUCUGGUCCAGAUUUUCAGUCCCUAUUUUCAGUCCCUAUUUGGGUUCUGGUUCUGGUCCCUAUUUCCAGCCCUGGUUUUGGGUUNNNNNNNNNNNNNNNNNNNNNNNNNNNNNNNNNNNNNNNNNNNNNNNNNNNNNNNNNNNNNNNNNNNNNNNNNNNNNNNNNNNNNNNNNNNNNNNNNNNNNNNNNAUUUUCAGUCCCCAUUUGGGUUCUGGUUCUGAUCCUCAUUUUCAGCCCCAAUUUUCAGUCCCUAUUUGGGUCCUGGUUCCGUUCUGUAUUUUCAGGUCCAAUUUUCAGUCCCCAUUUGGGUUCCGGUUCUGGUCCCUAUUUCCAGUCCCUAUUUCCAGUCCCUAUUUGGGUUCUGGUUCUGGUCCCCAUUUUCAGUUCCCAUUUGGGUUCUGGUCCCUAUUUCCAGUCCCUAUUUCCAGUCCCUAUUUUCAGUCCCUAUUUGGGUUCCGGUUCUGUUCCGUAUUUUCAGAUCCAAUUUUCAGUCCCCAUUUGGUUCUGGUUCUGAUCCCCAUUUUCAGCCCAUUUCCACUCCCGAGGUUCGGUUCCGGUUCGGUUCUGAUUCCCUCUCCCCAUUCCCAUCCCCAUUCACUUCCCCUCCCCCGGUUCGGUUCCGGUUCCGGUUCGUCUCCCCAUCCAUCCCAUCCCCAUUCCCUCCCGCUGUUCGGUUCCGGUUCCGGUUCGGUUCCGGUUCCGGUUCGGAUCCCCAUCCCAUUCCAUCCCCAUUUUGAGCCCCAAACUUCGGUUCUGGUUCCGGUUCGGUUCCCCAUUUCCAGGCCCUCGGUUCGGUUCCGGUUCCGGUUCGGAUCCCCAUUCCAUCCCCAUUUCCAGUCCCGUGGUUCGGUUCCGGUUCCGGUUCCAAUUCCCUCUCCAUCCCCAUUCCCUCCUGCAGUUCGGUUCCGGUUCCGGUUCGGUUCCGGUUCGGUUCCAGUUCGUCUCCCCAUUCCAUCCCCAUUCCCUCCUCCGGUCCUGUUCCGGUUCGGUUCCGGUUCCAGUUCGGUUCCGGUCCCUCUCCCCAUCCCAUCCCCAUUCCCCCUCCCGCUGUUCGGUUCCGGUUCGGUUCCGGUUCGGUUCCCCAUUCCCAUCCCCAUUCCCCCUCCCCAGGUUCUGUUCCGGUUCGGUUCCGGUUCCGGUUCUUCUCCCCAUCCCAUCCCCAUUCCCUCCCGCUGUUCGGUUCCGGUUCGGUUCCGGUUCCGGUUCGGUUCAGUUCCGGUUCGUCUCCCCAUUCCCAUCCCCAUUCCCCCUCCCCAGGUUCUGUUCCGGUUCGGUUCCGCUUCGGUUCCGGUUCCGGUUCGGUUCCGGUUCUGGUUCUGCUCCCCAUCCAUCCCGCCCCAUUCCCUCCCGCUGUUCGGUUCCGGUUCGGUUUCGGUUCCGGUUCGUCUCCCCAUUCCCAUCCCCAUUCCCCUCCCCCGGUUCGGUUCCAGUUCCGGUUCGGUUCCGGUUCUUCUCCCCAUCCCAUCCCCAUUCCCCCUCCCCAGGUUCUGUUCCGGUUCGGUUCCGGUUCCAGUUCGGUUCCGGUUCUUCUCCCCAUCCCAUCCCCAUUCCCUCCCGCGGUUCGGUUUCGUUUCCGGUUCGGUUCCGGUUCGGUUCUGGUUCUUCUCCCCAUCCCAUCCCCAUUUCCAGUCCCGCGGUUCGGUUCCGGUUCCGGUUCUUCUCCCCAUCCCAUCCCCAUUUCCCCUCCCCCGGUUCGGUUCCGGUUCCGGUUCUGGUUCCGAUUCCCUCUCCCCAUCCCAUCCCCAUUCCCCCUCCCGCGGUUCGGUUCUGGUUCCAGUUCCGGUUCCGGUUCGGAUCCCCAUUCCAUCCCCAUUUCCAGACCCGCAGUUCGGUUCCGGUUCCGGUUCGGUUCCGGUUCGGCUCCCCAUUCCCAUCCCCAUUCCAUCCCCAUUUCCCCUCCCCCGGUUCGGUUCUGGUUCCGGUUCGGUUCCCCAUUUCCAGUCCCGCGGUUCUGGUUCCGGUUCCGGUUCUUCUCCCCAUCCCAUCCCCAUUCCCUCCCGCGAUUCGGUUCCGGUUCCGGUUCGGUCCGGUUCCGGUUCUUCUCCCCAUUCCAUCCCCAUUCCCUCCCCCGGUCCUGUUCCGGUUCUGUUCCGGUUCCGGUUCUGUUCCGUUUCCGGUUCUGUUCCGUUUCCGGUUCUGUUCCG